GACGUAGGGGGCCAGCGUUGUUCGGAAUUACUGGGUGUAAAGGGUUCGUAGGCGGUGCGGCAAGUCGGGAGUGAAAUCUCUGGGCUUAACCCAGAGGCUGCUUCCGAAACUGCUGUGCUUGAGUGUGGGAGAGGCGCGUGGAAUUGCAGGUGUAGCGGUGAAAUGCGUAGAUAUCUAGAGGAACGCCUGUGGCGAAAGCGGAGCACUGGGCCCGUCCUGACGCUAAGACGCGAAAGCGUGGGUAGCAAACGGG
rnacentral:rRNA from 1 species